UACGAAGGGGGCUAGCGUUGCUCGGAAUGACUGGGCGUAAAGGGCGCGUAGGCGGUGUGUCGCGUCGGCCGUGAAAACCUGCAGCUUAACUGUGGGCUUGCGGUCGAUACGGGCAUCACUGGAGUUCGGCAGGGGAGACUGGAAUUCCUGGUGUAGCGGUGAAUGCGCAGAUAUCAGGAGGAACACCGGUGGCGAAGGCGGGUCUCUGGGCCGAUACUGACGCUGAGGCGCGAAAGCUAGGGGAGCAAACGGG
rnacentral:rRNA from 1 species